rnacentral:rRNA from 1 species
AUUGAACGCUGGCGGUAUGCCUUACACAUGCAAGUCGAACGGUAGAGGAGCAAUCCUCGAGAGUGGCGAACGGGUGAGUAAUACAUCGGAACGUGCCCAGUCGUGGGGGAUAACGUAGCGAAAGCUACGCUAAUACCGCAUACGACCUGAGGGUGAAAGCGGGGGACCGCAAGGCCUCGCGCGAUUGGAGCGGCCGAUGGCAGAUUAGGUAGUUGGUGGGGUAAAGGCCCACCAAGCCUGCGAUCUGUAGCUGGUCUGAGAGGACGACCAGCCACACUGGGACUGAGACACGGCCCAGACUCCUACGGGAGGCAGCAGUGGGGAAUUUUGGACAAUGGGCGAAAGCCUGAUCCAGCCAUACCGCGUGCGGGAAGAAGGCCUUCGGGUUGUAACCGCUUUGUCAGGAAGAAAGUGCUCCGGCGUAAUACCUGGGUGAGUGACGGUACCUGAAGAAUAAGACACCGGCUAACUACGUG